rnacentral:rRNA from 1 species
GACGAACGCUGGCGGCGUGCUUAACACAUGCAAGUCGAGGGCAUCUGGGUAGCAAUACACAGGUGACCGGCGAACGGGUGCGUAACACGUGAGCGACCUUGCCUAGUGGUGGGGGAUAGCCGGCCCAACGGCCGGGUAAUACCGCAUAAGGUGGUUUCUUCGCAUGGAGAGACUAGCAAAGCCUUGCAGCAAUGCAAUGGCGCCACAGGGGGGGCUCGCGGCCUAUCAGCUAGUUGGGGGGGUAAUGGCCCACCAAGGCGACGACGGGUAGCUGGUCUGAGAGGAUGGCCAGCCACAUUGGGACUGAGAGACGGCCCAGACUCCUACGGGAGGCAGCAGUGGGGAAUCUUGCGCAAUGGCCGAAAGGCUGACGCAGCGACGCCGCGGUGGGGGAGG